UACGAAGGGUGCAAACGUUAUUCGGAAUCACUGGGCGUAAAGGGCGCGUAGGCGGCCAGCACAAGUCAGUUGUGAAAUCUCCGAGCUUAACUCGGAAAGGUCAACUGAUACUGUGCGGCUAGAGUGCAGAAGGGGCAACUGGAAUUCUUGGUGUAGCGGUGAAAUGCGUAGAUAUCAAGAGGAACACCUGCGGCGAAGGCGGGUUGCUGGGCUGACACUGACGCUGAUGCGCGAAAGCUAGGGGAGCGAACGGG
rnacentral:rRNA from 1 species